CUGCAAUGAGCGUCCACAUAAGACUUUAAGAGCAUUAUAGAAGUCCCCAUGUUUCUCAAACUGAACCACAAUCUUGCAGAGGAGACCUGAAAUUAUAUCCCCUCCAUCCUCGUCUGCAUCCUUACCACGAUCAUCAUCCUCAGCGACGUUAAGAUUUCUUAUCUUCCCAAAUGUGGAGAAAAUGGUAUGAGUAACUAACAAUGAAGGCUUCGAAGACACCCUCGGCUCUGCAAACCAACGGGACGGAACC
rnacentral:misc_RNA from 1 species